GAUGAACGCUGGCGGCGUGCCUAAUACAUGCAAGUCGAGCGAACGGACGAGAAGCUUGCUUCUCUGAUGUUAGCGGCGGACGUGUGUGUAACACGUGGAUAACCCACCUAUAAGUCUGGUAUAACUUCGGGAAACCGGAUCUAAUACCGUAUAAUAUUUUGAACCGCAUGGUUCAUAAGUUAAAGACGGUCUUUCUGUCACUUAUAGAUGGUUCCGCGCUGCAUUAGCUAGUUGGUAAGGUAACGGGUUACCAAGGCUACGAUGCAUAGCCGACCUGAGGGGGUGAUCGGCCACACUGGAGGGGGGACACGGUCCGUACCCCUACGGAAGGGACCAGUAGGAAAUGUUCGGCAAUGGGCGAAAGCAUGACGGAGCAACGCCGCGUGAGUGAUGACGGCCUCCGGAUCGUAAAGAUCUGUUAUUAGGGAAGAACAUAUGUGUAAGUAACUGUGCACAGCGUGACGGUACCUAGUAAGAAAGCCACGGCUAACUACGUG
rnacentral:rRNA from 1 species